rnacentral:rRNA from 16 species
GGCUGUCGUCAGCUCGUGUCGUGAGAUGUUUGGUCAAGUCCUAUAACGAGCGAAACCCUCGUUUUGUGUUGCUGAGACAUGCGCCUAAGGAGAAAUUGCCACCGAAGUGAGCCGAGGAGCCGAGUGACGUGCCAGCGCUACUACUUGAUUGAGUGCCAGCACGUAGCUGUGCUUUCAGCAAGAAUUUCACCAUUGGGAGCCGGUGCCUUUCGAAGCACUUUCACGUGUGAACCGAAGUCGUCUUGCCCAAGACCCACGGAGACCUACCUAUAGUGACGUCAAAGUACCAGUGAGCAUGGAGGUUUGGUUGAAAUUGGUUACGACGACGUCGAGUUGGCGGCGGAGGAAGACUCGGCAUGAAGGCCAGCCGCCCGGUGGUGUGGUACGUAGUGGUAAUAGUACGCGCCCCGCUCCGAAACAAAGAAAAAGGUGCGUGCCGCACUCACGAGGGACUGCCAGUGAGAUACUGGAGGAAGGGGGGGAUGACGUCAAGUCCGC